rnacentral:tRNA from 1 species
CAGAAAAUAGUAUUAUAAUAAGUACAUGAAUUUUGGGGAUUCAAAGAGGUUUUCUUUUCUGA